CUACGGGGAUGAUAAAAAAUGAACUCUCUCUCUCUGAUAGAUUAGUGGAGAACUGUACAGUCUGAGUAGC